GGUUCCAUGGUGUAAUGGUUAGCACUCUGGACUCUGAAUCCAGCGAUCUGAGUUUAAAACCUAGUUGCUUCA
rnacentral:tRNA from 1 species